rnacentral:ncRNA from 1 species
ACUAAGACACAGAACAGAAAAAUUUCUUAUAUUUUUCAAGCGAGUUUGGGAGAGUGGAAGCCAAAUAAAACCCUGUAAGAAAUCAGAUCAUCUGUGAGUUGCGUUCUUGAAAGAGCUGACUUUUCAAAGACUCGAGUAGAGAACGACGCCUGAUCCCGUUACCGGUCAUCAAAGAAUUGUCAAAUGACAAUUAAAUUUGGGUGGUACCACGAACACGUUCGUCCCUUGC